rnacentral:rRNA from 1 species
GACGAACGCUGGCGGCGUGCCUAAUACAUGCAAGUCGAACGAGAGCGACCGGUGCUUGCACUGGUCAAUCUAGUGGCGCACGGGUGAGUAACACGUGGGUAACCUGCCCAUCAGAGGGGGAUAACAUCCGGAAACGGAUGCUAAAACCGCAUAGGUCUUCGAUCCGCAUGGCUUGAAGAGGAAAAGAGGCGCAAGCUUCUGCUGAUGGAUGGACCCGCGGUGCAUUAGCUAGUUGGUGAGGUAACGGCUCACCAAGGCCGUGAUGCAUAGCCGACCUGAGAGGGUGAUCGGCCACAUUGGGACUGAGACACGGCCCAAACUCCUACGGGAGGCAGCAGUAGGGAAUCUUCCGCAAUGGACGCAAGUCUGACGGAGCAACGCCGCGUGAGUGAAGAAGGUUUUCGGAUCGUAAAACUCUGUUGUUAGAGAAGAACAAGUGCUAGAGUAACUGUUAGCGCCUUGACGGUAUCUAACCAGAAAGCCACGGCUAACUACGUG